rnacentral:rRNA from 1 species
UCGCCUGUUUAUCAAAAACAUGGUUUCUUGAAUAAAAUAAGAAAUUUAACCUGCCCCCUGAAUUUAUUUUAAAGGGCCGCAGUAUAUUGACUGUGCAAAGGUAGCAUAAUAAUUAGUCUUUUAAUUGAGGGCUGGUAUGAAUGGUUGGAUGAAGUAAGAACUGUUUUAUAGAAAUUAAAUUGAAUUUAGAUUUUAAGUAAAAAUACUUAAAUUGAAUUAAGGGACGAGAAGACCCUAUAGAGUUUAAUAUAUGAAAUAAUAAAUUAAGUUAAGAAUAAAUUUUUAAUUAUUAUAAAAUAUAUUUAAUUGGGGAGAUUGGAAGAUAAAAUAAACUUUUUUUUAAGUUAGAUUCAUUAAGAAAUUAUAAGAUCCAUUAUUAGUGAUUAAAAGGUUAAAUUACCUUAGGGAUAACAGCAUAAUUCUUUUUAAAAGUUCAUAUUGAAAAUAGAGUUUGUGACC